UACGGAGGGUGCAAGCGUUAUCCGGAUUUACUAGGGUUAAAGGGUGUGUAGGCGGACUUUUAAGUCAGCGGUGAAAUCUCCGGGCUCAACCCGGAAACUGCCAUUGAUACUAUUGGUCUUGAAUGUUGUUGAGGUGGGCGGAACGGGUCAUGUAGCGGUGAAAUGCAUAGAUAUGACCCGGAACACCGAUUGCGAAGGCAGCCCACUAAGCAACGAUUGACGCUGAGGCACGAAAGCGUGGGGAUCAAACAGG
rnacentral:rRNA from 1 species